rnacentral:lncRNA from 1 species
UGAACAUUGGAGUUGUUGGAUAUGGUGAAGUUGUUAGCCACAUGGGUUUCCAUGUGACUCUAAGAUGCCCUGUUAUUGGGGAGCAAAGAAAUAAUGGUGUUCUGUUCAGAGCAGUUAUGCCUAUUCAUGAUCUGAAAACACUCUCUGAAUAGUAUGUGAGAAAAUAUUGGAGGAGUGAUUCAGAAUGUGCCACAAGGGGUGGUGUAGUCAUGUACUGCCAAUGUUUAUGUCUUCUAUCGCAUGUGUUUGAGAACAAGAACCAAUACCACUUCACUUUGAAUCUUUAUUCCUUUUUUUUUUUUUUUUAUACUUUUACAAAAACUAUUGUAUUCAGUUCUGC